CUAUACGUUGCCUCGGCGGAUCAGCCCGCGCCCUGUAAAAAGGGACGGCCCGCCCGAGGACCCUAAACUCUGUUUUUAGUGGAACUUCUGAGUAAAACAAACAAAUAAAUCAAAACUUUCAACAACGGAUCUCUUGGUUCUGGCAUCGAUGAAGAACGCAGCAAAAUGCGAUAAGUAAUGUGAAUUGCAGAAUUCAGUGAAUCAUCGAAUCUUUGAACGCACAUUGCGCCCGCCAGUAUUCUGGCGGGCAUGCCUGUUCGAGCGUCAUUUCAACCCUCAAGCUCAGCUUGGUGUUGGGACUCGCGGUAACCCGCGUUCCCCAAAUCGAUUGGCGGUCACGUCGAGCUUCCAUAGCGUAGUAAUCAUACACCUCGUUACUGGUAAUCGUCGCGGCCACGCCGUAAAACCCCAACUUCUGAAUGUUGACCUCGGAUCAGGUAGGAAUACCCGCUGAACUUAAGCAUAUCAAUAAGCGGAG
rnacentral:rRNA from 1 species